rnacentral:lncRNA from 1 species
UCUAUCUCUCUCUCUCUCUCUUCCCCUUUUUCUCUCUCUACCUCUUUUCUCUCUCUGGAGGGAUGAGUGAGAGAGAGAGCACAAAAGUGUGCAGGUUUGUGAGAGUGAGAUAGAGAGCAUUAAAAGCCGUGGAAAGAGGAGAGAGAAGUUCGGUUCAGCGAGGGGUGGCGGAAGACCGUCCACUCAGAGGAGUAAGGUCGGCGGCGCAGAGGCGUAGAGAGAGAGAGAGAGAGAGAGAGAGAGAGAGAGGAGGAGAGNN